CGACAGUGAGAGUCACUCUGAAAUUCAACACAAUUAGGUCUUAAAAGUGGUAAUGAUGAAAAUCAAAGCAAGGUUUUGGCGAUGUCCUCUCAGGAAAACUAUGGUGGAUCUCCACACCGCUUCCUCUCCCCUGCACUAUAAGGUGCUCAUUAGGUGAACCUGGAACACCUGAGGGCCCCGGUGUGUUCCCAAGUUAUAUAAGUCCUGGCUGCAGCACAGCUCACUCU